GGGGCGGAUCCAGGAUUUUGUAAAGGGGGGGCGAAGAUUAUAAAUGUCGCCGAGCGAAGCGAGGCGAAAAAUUUUUGGGACCUUUUUUCGGCUAAAAAACAUAAAAUAAGUGUAAUAUGCACAAUUUAAACGGUUCCUGGCUUGGGGCAUGUAUAUUUUAUAGUUGCUGUAUUAAAAGUGUAAGGGUUGGACAUUUUUUUAUGGACAUGGACAUUCGAUGAAAUUUACAAUACGACCAACACGAGUUAAAAAAGACAAACAAGCAGUUUUUAUCAAAAUGUUUGAUUGAUAUAUGUUUCACCCAACAUAACUUAGAGAACGGAAGUGAGGGGUUCCAAAUCCCCCAAAGAUUACGAAAGUGUCUGAAAUGACAACGAAUUUAGACUGAUGGUCGACAAAUGGAGACAUAAAGGUCACACCCAGUAGGCAGGUUACAAAGUAUUCAAUAUAUAUAAGUCCGGCGAAACAGACAUUCAAGUCAGACACGCAAACCCCGGCCCCAAAAAAACUACGCCCGUUUUUUUCAUCAUGUUCAUUUCAUGCUAAAUAAUUUUGUUGGAAAUUUUCGUUUUUAAUAGCAAAAAACUGGACAAGACUAUUGUUUUUAAUCCAGAUACGGUUCAGAAUUUUUGUUUAAGGCAAGAAUCAGAGUCAAUUUUUCUCUCUCAAAUAUCUAAGACUGUCUCCUCAAAUCAAAUGGUUCGUACCUGAGACUUGAAAUUCUUAUAGAGCUUAUACUAAAAUUGAGAAUGGAAAUGGGGAAUGUGUCAAAGAGACAACAACCCGACCACAAAAAAACAACAGCAGAAGGUCACGAACAGGUGUUCAAUGUAGCGAGAAAUUUCCGCACCUGGAGGCGUCCUUCAGCUGGUCCCUUAAUAACAAAUAUAGUUCAGUGAUAAUGAACGCCAUACUAAUUUCCAAAUUGUACACAAGAAACUAAAAAUAAAAUAAUACAAGACUUACAAAGUCUAGAGGCUCCUGACUUGGAACAAGCGCAAAAAUGAGGCGGGGUGACAGGGGUUCUUUAUUCAAUUUGUUAUUUAUAAAAUAAGCUGGUGCAUUUGGGGUUAAACAUGUUUUCGUAGGUAAAUAAUAUUGUGGAAUUUCUUUUUCUUGAGGGUGCAAUAGUCUAUAGAGUAUUUACUAUUACUUUCUGUUUGGUGGAAUAGUGAAAUAGAAGUCAAUACGUUCUUGCUCAAUCCUGUGUUGCUUUGAAGGUUUCCUGAUUGUCAUGACAUCCUCAGCCUAAGCAAUGUUUAUUACUGUAAUUUUAAUUUCAAAAUGACCGUCGUGUGCCGUUUUUUCAACGCACUGGUCAACUCCACCAUAGCAAAUCACAUGACUUUGACAAUCAGUAAAUACCACCGAAAAAUAUCUUUAUAUUAAGUAAAGAAUUGUCGUAUAAAAAUUAAAUACUCGGGAAAUGGCAAAGUUCACGAAGUCUAGUCUGAUAAAAUAAUUUUACAAAAAAAAAAAAAAAAAAAGUCCGAGCAAAGGGGGGGCGUACGCCCUCUACGCCCCCCCCUGAAUCCGCCACUGUCAU
rnacentral:lncRNA from 1 species